rnacentral:rRNA from 1 species
AUGGAUGUUAAGACGGCUUUUCUAAAUGGAGAGCUAAAGGAGGAAAUCUACAUGCAACAGCCUGAUGGCUUUGUGAUAGAUGGUCAGGAAAGAAAGGUGUGUAGGUUGAUAAAAUCUUUAUAUGGCCUGAAACAAGCACCUAAGCAAUGGCAUGAUAAGUUUAAUACAACUCUGACAUCUGUUGGUUUCGUUGUUAAUGAGGCUGACAAAUGUGUAUACUAUCGCCAUGGUGGGGGCGAAGGAGUUAUACUGUGCUUGUAUGUAGAUGACAUACUGAUAUUUGGAACAAACCUCAAAGUCAUUGAGGAGGUCAAAUCGUUUCUAUCUCAGAACUUUGAGAUGAAAGACCUUGGUGUGGCUGAUGUUAUCUUGAACAUCAAGCUACUGAGAGAUAAUGAGGGUGGGAUCAUACUUCUGCAAUCCCAUUACGUUGAGAAGAUGAAGGCCACAACUGGGUAUAUGUUUACUCUUGGAGGUGGCGCUGUUUCCUGGAAGUCUUGCAAGCAAACGAUCUUAACGAGAUCGACAAUGGAAGCAGAAUUAACGGCAUUAGACACAUCUGGUGUUGAAGCCAGAUGGCUUCGAGAUCUUUUGAUGGACUUGCCAUUGGUUGAUAAACCGGUUCCGGCUAUCCUUAUGAACUGUGACAAUCAGACUGUCAUCACCAAGGUGAAGAGUUCAAAGGACAACAUGAAGUCCACCAAACACAUAAGAAUGAGAUUAAAAGCUGUCAGAAAAUUAAGAAACUCCGGAGUGAUAGCGUUGGACUAUGUCCAUAUGGCUAAGAAUCUGGCAGAUCCCUUUACAAAAGGGCUAUCACGUGUUGUGAUAGAUAAUGCAUCGAGGGAGAUGGGUAUGAGACCCACAUGA